GCUCGAUGAUGAUCUUCC
rnacentral:miRNA from 1 species